AAUAGAUACCCCGGUAGUCCACGCCGUAAACGAUGAAUGCUAGGUGUUAGGGGUUUCGAUACCCUUGGUGCCGAAGUUAACACAUUAAGCAUUCCGCCUGGGGAGUACGGUCGCAAGACUGAAACUCAAAGGAAUUGACGGGGACCCGCACAAGCAGUGGAGUAUGUGGUUUAAUUCGAAGCAACGCGAAGAACCUUACCAGGUCUUGACAUCCCUCUGAAUCCUCUAGAGAUAGAGGCGGCCUUCGGGACAGAGGAGACAGGUGGUGCAUGGUUGUCGUCAGCUCGUGUCGUGAGAUGUUGGGUUAAGUCCCGCAACGAGCGCAACCCUUGAUUUUAGUUGCCAGCACAUUAAGGUGGGCACUCUAGAAUGACUGCCGGUGACAAACCGGAGGAAGGCGGGGAUGACGUCAAAUCAUCAUGCCCCUUAUGACCUGGGCUACACACGUACUACAAUGGCCAGUACAACGGGAAGCGAAGUCGCGAGACGGAGCCAAUCCUAUCAAAGCUGGUCUCAGUUCGGAUUGCAGGCUGACC
rnacentral:rRNA from 1 species